rnacentral:rRNA from 1 species
UACGUAGGGGGCAAGCGUUGUCCGGAAUUAUUGGGCGUAAAGAGCUCGUAGGCGGUUUGUCGCGUCUGCUGUGAAAACCUAAGGCUCAACCUUGGGCUUGCAGUGGGUACGGGCAGACUAGAGUGCGGUAGGGGUGACUGGAAUUCCUGGUGUAGCGGUGGAAUGCGCAGAUAUCAGGAGGAACACCCGAGUGGCGAAGGCAGGGUCACUGG